rnacentral:tRNA from 1 species
GGCCGCGUAGCCAAGUGGUAAGGCAAGGGUCUGCAAAACCCUUAUACGAGGGUUCAAUUCCCUCCGCGGCCU